rnacentral:rRNA from 1 species
GGCUACGAGGACGACGCUGGCGGCGUGCUUAACACAUGCAAGUCGAACGAUGAACCGGAGCUUGCUCCGGGGAUUAGUGGCGAACGGGUGAGUAACACGUGGGCAACCUGCCCCAGACACCGGGAUAACCUUCCGAAAGGAUGGCUAAUACCGGAUACGACCACUUCGGGCAUCCGACGGUGGUGGAAAGGAUUCUGGUCUGGGAUGGGCCCGCGGCCUAUCAGCUUGUUGGUGGGGUAAUGGCCUACCAAGGCGACGACGGGUAGCCGGCCUGAGAGGGCGACCGGCCACACUGGGACUGAGACACGGCCCAGACUCCUACGGGAGGCAGCAGUGGGGAAUAUUGCGCAAUGGGUGAAAGCCUGACGCAGCGACGCCGCGUGAGGGACGAAGGUCUUCGGAUUGUAAACCUCUUUCAGCAGGGACGAAGCGAAAGUGACUGUACCUGCAGAAGAAGCACCGGCUAACUACGUG